UGACGACACAGAGGAGAUUAGCAUGGCCCCAGCGCAGGGAUGACUCGCAAAUUCAUGAAGUGUUCCACACUUUA
rfam:Myotis davidii contig100175, whole genome shotgun sequence.